UACGUAGGGUGCGAGCGUUGUCCGGAGUUACUGGGCGUAAAGGGCAUGCAGGCGGUCGGACGCGUUUCGGGUGACAGCGGGUGGCUUAACUACCCGAGUGGUCGAAAGACGGUUUGACUUGAGGACGCGAGAGGGACACGGAAUUCCGGGUGGAGUGGUGAAAAUGCGUAGAGAUCCGGAGGAACACCGAAGGCGAAGGCAGUGUCCUGGCGCGUAACUGACGCUGAGGUGCGAAAGCCAGGGAGCGAACGGG
rnacentral:rRNA from 1 species